AGAUAAAUUGUAUAUUUCAUUUCAGUAACACAUUACAUGAAAUACAAUACAUCAUCCAUUAACUCCUCUACACAUCAAGGUCCAAGGUCCAACAAGUGCACAAUUGCACAGCAAAAUAAUGCUACAAGUGCAAGUGCACAGCAAAAAGACCCAACAAGUGCACAUGCGCACAACAACAUAGUUCUACAAAGAUUGGACGAGAUGGGCAAAUUUUAGUUGAUCACACAUAACAUCAAUGAGAAACGAAGCUUCUUCUGCCCUUCGCUUCUUUUGAGUGCUUCAGAUCAUCCUGGUAAUUGGAACAAUCAAACAUAAGAAAGCACACAAAACAUGAGCAAACAAAAGAUAAAUGGAAGCUUUACAUUCAACAAUUAACUCAAGACUAAGACAUGCUCCCAUAGAAAUUUCAGGAAUUGCAAGAUUAUUCUUGUGUUAGCUCAACACUUUAUGCAAAAAAAGCUCACAUUAAUAACUUCCAACAUGAAGAGAUGUGAAUCAUAUAUCUUUAACAGAGUAAAAUAAACAACACCGAGAUGAGCACCACAACACAACACAACUCAUAUACCACCAAACCAAACUGAUCAUUGCAAACUAUAAGUUGACCUCAACACAAACAACACAUGAACACAAAUUAUGCAUGGCUGAAACACAACCUCAUAUGUAGACUUUAACUUAAUUCACGAGUUUGAAUCGAAGGAGUAACAAUCAGAACCAUUUCCUGUAGUGAUGUCAACCUUUAUUGUUGAACAAGAAAAUGCUAACAGCUAGUUACAGAGAUAAACAUAAUCCUCCCAGAAGAGUCUUGGCAAUUUGUAUUAAAUAUUAACAUGGAUGCAAAACUUCAGUUUGAGGGUAGCAUGUUUCUUUAGCCUUUACUUGACUGGAAUUACAAAAUGAAGAACAUGAACAAAUCAUACGAACAAGCAACCCCAUGAAGACCGCUCAGUUGAAUCUUGUUUAUACUUUUCUUGUAGAUUAAGAUGUGGGGGAAGAGCAUUACCUUGAUGGGAUCUCAGUAGUAGCAUACAACCUGGAUAGUGUUGACAAACUCCGGAGG
rnacentral:lncRNA from 1 species